rnacentral:rRNA from 1 species
UCAGGAUGAACGCUGGCGGUAUGCGUAACACAUGCAAGUCGAACGAAGUUUUUCGGAACUUAGUGGCGGACGGGUGAGUAACGCGUGAGAAUCUGCCUUAAGGAUUGGGACAACAGUGGGAAACCGCUGCUAAUACCAAAUAUGCCUUUUAGUGAAACGGGUAAAACCGCCUUAAGAUGAGCUCGCGUCUGAUUAGCUAGUUGGUGUGGUAAGAGCGCACCAAGGCAACGAUCAGUAGCUGGUCUGAGAGGACGACCAGCCACACUGGGACUGAGACACGGCCCAGACUCCUACGGGAGGCAGCAGUGAGGAAUUUUCCGCAAUGGGCGAAAGCCUGACGGAGCAAUACCGCGUGAGGGAGGAAGGUUCUUGGAUUGUAAACCUCUUUUCUCAGAGAAGAAUAAUGACGGUAUCUGAGGAAUAAGCAUCGGCUAACUCCGUGCCAGCAGCCGCGGUAAUACGGAGGAUGCAAGCGUUAUCCGGAAUGAUUGGGCGUAAAGGGUCUGUAGGUGGUUGUUCAAGUCUGCUGUUAAAGCGUCUGGCUUAACCAGAUAAAGGCGGUGGAAACUGAACGACUAGAGUGCGGUAGGGGUAGAGGGAAUU